rnacentral:misc_RNA from 1 species
GUGAAUCAUCAAAUUUUUGAACGCACAUUGCGCUUCCUGGCAUUCCGGGGAGUAUGCCUGUUUGAGGGUCAGUAUUAACAAAAAAUCGGUUUGGUUGCAAAUUGUGACGUUUUGGGAGUUGGGGCUAUCUUAACUGUUUGGUUAAGUGGCUGAAAAUUGACCUUUUUUGCGCAUUUUUAGACGUACAUAUAUUUUUUUUUUAUUAGUCGAUUCUUAGUGCCAAAAUCU